rnacentral:rRNA from 1 species
CAGGCCUAACACAUGCAAGUCGAGGGGUAGCACAGAGGAAGCUUGCUUUCUUGGGUGACGACCGGCGCACGGGUGAGUAACGCGUAUCCGACCUACCCAUAACACGGGCACAGCCGAUCGAAAGAUCGAUUGAUUCCCGAUAUGUUAUAUAAGUAGAUUAUAUAAUGAAAGAUUUAUCGGUUAUGGAUGGGGAUGCGUAAGAUUAGGUAGUAGGCGGGGUAACGGCCCACCUAGCCGACGAUCUUUAGGGGUUCUGAGAGGAAGGUCCCCCACACUGGUACUGAGACACGGACCAGACUCCUACGGGAGGCAGCAGUGAGGAAUAUUGGUCAAUGGGCGGAAGCCUGAACCAGCCAAGUAGCGUGAAGGAUCACAGCCCUACGGGUUUUAAACUUCUUUUAUAUAAGAGUAAUGUGCACUACGUGUAGUGUAUUGCAAGUAUUAUAUGAAUAAGCAUCGGCUAACUCCGUGCCAGCAGCCGCGGUAAUACGGAGGAUGCGAGCGUUAUCCGGAUUUAUUGGGUUUAAAGGGAGCGUAGGCGGGAUAUUAAGUCAGUCGUCAAAGCCUGUGGCUCAACCACAGCCCGCGAUUGAUACUGGUAUCCUUGAGUGCAGAUGAGGUGGAUGGAAUUCGUGGUGUAGCGGUGAAAUGCUUAGAUAUCACGAAGAACUCCGAUUGCGAAGGCAGUUCACUGGGCUGCAACUGACGCUGAAGCUCGAAAGUGCGGGGAUCAAACAGGAUUAGAUACCCUGGUAGUCCGCACCGUAAACGAUGGAUACUCGCUGCCGGCGAUAUACAGUCGGUGGCUUAGCGAAAGCGUUAAGUAUCCCACCUGGGGAGUACGCCGGCAACGGUGAAACUCAAAGGAAUUGACGGGGGCCCGCACAAGCGGAGGAACAUGUGGUUAAAUUCGAUGAUACGCGA